UACGGGGGGAGCAAGCGUUGUUCGGAUUUACUGGGCGUAAAGGGCGCGUAGGCGGCGCAACAAGUCACUUGUGAAAUCUCCGGGCUUAACCCGGAGCGGCCAAGUGAUACUGUCGUGCUAGAGUGCGGGAAGGGGCUACUGGAAUUCUCGGUGUAGCGGUGAAAUGCGUAGAUAUCAAGAGGAACACCUGCGGCGAAGGCGGGUUGCUGGGCCGACACUGACGCUGAGGCGCGAAAGCUAGGGGAGCGAACGGG
rnacentral:rRNA from 1 species